AUUGAACGCUGGCGGCAUGCCUUACACAUGCAAGUCGAACGGCAGCACGGGGCAACCUGGUGGCGAGUGGCGAACGGGUGAGUAAUGCAUCGGAACGUACCUUUCAGUGGGGGAUAACGUAGCGAAAGUUACGCUAAUACCGCAUAUUCUGUGAGCAGGAAAGCAGGGGAUCGCAAGACCUUGCGCUGAUUGAGCGGCCGAUGUCAGAUUAGCUAGUUGGUGAGGUAAAGGCUUACCAAGGCGACGAACUGUAGCGGGUCUGAGAGGAUGAUCCGCCACACUGGAACUGAGACACGGUCCAGACUCCUACGGGAGGCAGCAGUGGGGAAUUUUGGACAAUGGGGGCAACCCUGAUCCAGCCAUGCCGCGUGAGUGAAGAAGGCCUUCGGGUUGUAAAGCUCUUUCGGCCGGGAAGAAAUCGCACGGGCUAAUACCCUGUGUGGAUGACGGUACCGGAAUAAGAAGCACCGGCUAACUACGUGCCAGCAGCCGCAGUAACAC
rnacentral:rRNA from 1 species